GAGUUUGAUCAUGGCUCAGAUUGAACGCUGGCGGCAUGCCUUACACAUGCAAGUCGAACGGCAGCAUGAUCUAGCUUGCUAGAUUGAUGGCGAGUGGCGAACGGGUGAGUAAUACAUCGGAACGUGCCCUGUAGUGGGGGAUAACGUAGUCGAAAGAUUAGCUAAUACCGCAUACGACCUGAGGGUGAAAGUGGGGGACCGCAAGGCCUCGAUGCUAUAGGAGCGGCCGAUGUCUGAUUAGCUAG
rnacentral:rRNA from 1 species